GGAGAGGGAAUUGGCAGGUUCAGCGGGAGGCUACUCCCCCACCUGUCUCCAGGCACUGCAGACACAGCUGCUGCGGAAGGAGACAGUCAAAGCUUCCAAGGAAAGAAAUGGCCAAGAUUUGAGAGAAACCUGGCAGCGUCCCCAAGCCUGGCACGGGAUCGCCUCAGAGGCACUCGGCUGCUCCGGAGGCGGAGCGCGAAGCAUCGGACCCGGCGGGCGGAGCCAGGCCAGCGGGGCGCAGCGCAACGCCUUCCGCCAGGGCGUCUGGCGCCACCUACCGGCGACCAGGCAAGCGUCAGUGCGACCCCAAAGCAAGCUGCUGUGAGCUGGCUGGACCUGGUCCCAGCCACUAGCAACAGCAUUUCCAACAAAGGCCACCCGUCUUAGCCUACCCAGCUCAGAAACUCCUGUCUAAGUGCUCUGCCCUAGGAGUUGAUCUAACUGCUUUAUGUAAACCCAACCUGAGGUCGAAGGCAGUCUGUGAUCCCAGUAUACACUCAGCGAAGAGUGUGUGCUCCCACAACAGUAGCGUGAAUGAACAUAUGAAUGAAUGAACCAACCUAUUUAAAAAAAAAAAAACAACAACAACAACAACUUUCAGAUAUAUUUAUGUUUGUCAGACAUUUUGUUGGUGGCUAGUAAAGUCUACAAUAACUG
ensembl:antisense 0610025J13Rik RIKEN cDNA 0610025J13 gene